GGGUCAGUAGGUUGGUCGUGCCACCGGUACGUACUGGUCUCACUGGUUCCUCCUUCCUGAAGAACCGUAAUGCCAUUAAUUUGGUGUUGCGGGGAAACAGGACUGUUACUUUGAAAAAAUUAGAGUGUUUAAAGCAAGCUAACGCUUGAAUACAUUAGCAUGGAAUAAUGGAAUAGGACGAUCGAUCCUAUUUUGUUGGUUUCUAGGAUUGACGUA
rnacentral:rRNA from 1 species